CGGAACUACGCUUUUUUUCUGAAAGCGGAAGAUGGGCGAGCCGGGCAGUAGAGACGCUUUCUGAAGGGGGUAGAACGGUUCGAGGUUUCGCGGACUGUUUACCUCCAGGGGUCGUUCGUGAGUCAGAGAAACCGGGCCUUUGGAGGGAGAGGGCCUGGCGACAGUCCUUCUGCGCUUGGCUGUGCAGCGUUCUGGCUGCUUCUGCCCGGCGCCACGAGGCCCGCCCCGGCGCUACCCUCGCCCUGCCUGCCCCGGCUCUGUCGGCCUGCGGGCGCUGCAGCCUCUCUCCCGCCGCCGGCGUGUCUGGAAAUGGAGGCCCAUAGCUAGAAGGUCCCGGGUACCCUUUGUUCCCAACCCUGCCUUGCCCGUCUUCCUCUGGGAAUUAGUGAGACCUUGGCCCUAAGGGCGUAACCCCCCGUGGCUCCACGUGGGGGUCCCAUAGCUCUUCUGCUACUUCCGGCAGUGGCUGAGGGAGUCGAAGCUGUGGGUAGUGAGGACAGGUGUGGACAGUAGCAGGGAGGGGAAGGUCUGUGGUUCCUGACGUGCUGCCUCUGUUCCCAAGAAGAUAACUUUCCUAUGGCCCUUGCCCUCUGGCUAGUUAUGGCCCGUCCACCACGUGUCCUCAAAUGCCUGGACUCUGGAGAAAGGCAGCCUCCUUCCUCAGACCCCACGACGCUUGUCGGUCCCACUACCUGUUUUCACCUUUCCCCUCGGAGGCCACCUAGAGCACCUGGCUAGAAAUGGGAGCAACUGGUGGGAUUGGGAUUGAGAUAGGGAGUCUGCAGCAUUUGGAGGGAAGGAGUGGACUAAGAUGGAACUGCAGAACAUUUGAGGCACUGAAAGUUACUGGGGCAAAAUGGGAGGGUCAGGGAGCAGGGGUGAGGGAGCGAGGGAAUGAGACCCAUCAUCUCUGUAUGUCUCAAAAGGAAGAAACUUACGUGUCUCUGAGCAGGCAGAUGAGGAACGCAUUUUUCAGAGCUCUGGUUCUCUGUGAGACACACAACCCAUAGUAAUUUAGUUUUGUUCCAAACGUGUUAAGUGAAGUGCACACCUCCCUAUUUGUUCCUAAGGAGCUACAGCUACUGGUAACUUCUACAAGACAGGUGCGUGAACUACAGACUUCCCAGCGUUGCCUGGCGCUCUCCCCUCCCUCCCCGCACCUACUACUAGUAAUUCGAUGUUCCCACAUUCCUCUGUGCUAGCUGUGGAGGUUCCUGAGACCCUUUUAGGGGAUCUGCAAGGGCAGAACUGUUUCACAAUAAUACUAAGAUUUGUUUACAUUUUUCAGUGUAUUGACAUUUAAACUUAAAGUGACAUGGAAAACUGCUAGCACCUUGGCGUGAAUCAAGGCAGUGGCAUCAAACUAUAUUUGCAGUUGUAUUUUUCACCAAAGCUUUUUAGGGGGGAGGGGGAGCCAGUUUCACUUAAGAAUGUUCUUCAUGAAGCUGUAAAAAGUAUUCAUUUUACUCCAUUUUGAACCUUGAGUAGAGGUCCUGUUGCUACCCUGUGUGACAGAAUGGGAAGUACGCAUGAAGCAGGCUUGCUGCAUACCAAGUGGCAGUCGAGACAUCUGUUGAGGCUGCGGCCAUCUGAAGGCUUGACUGGACCUGGAGAAUCUGCUUCCAAGAGGUGCACUCACGUGGCUGUUGGCAGGAGGUGUCACUGGACGGACCUCUCCACGGGGCUUUGACGAUGCGCACAGCUUGGCAGCCAGCUUCUCCCAGAGCAAGUGAUCAGAGAGAGGGAGCAAGAUAGAAGCCUCAGUGUCUUUUAUGAUCUACCCUCAGAAGUCAUGCUCUGUAAUUUCCACCACGUUCUAUUCAUUAGAGUGAGUCACAUGUACAGGCCACACUCAAAGAGAGGGAAAUUAAGCUCCACCUCUUAAAGGGAAGAGUACCGAAGAAUACGUGGACAUGUUUCAAUAACACUACACUUAGUGAACCAAUAUUUUCCAAAUGACUGUGUGAUGUUACAAUGCCAUGAUGCACAGAUAAAAAAUCUAUUCUAAUUGCAAGAUAGCCCCAUGGAUUUUUAAUGUAACAGAGUAGGAAACAUUCAUUGAUGUAGUUUUAGAUCCCACAUUGCUUCUGACCUUUAAGAAGCUAUCAUUUGUUGAGUUCUGGUGUAGGAUCAGAGAAGAGUAUCCACAAUUAUCUGAAAAGGCUAUCAAAAUACUCCCCUUAUUUCCAACUACGUAUCCCUGUGAGGCCAAAUUUUUGUCAUAUACUGACAACAGCAUUAGAAUAGACCGGAAUGCAGAGGCAGAUAGGAGAAUCCAGCUCUCUUCUGUUAAGCCAGACAGAGAUUUGCAAAAAUGUACAACAGAGUGGCUCUUCUCACUAAUUAUUUUUGUUUUAGAAAAUGUGUUUUUCUUAAAAAGUGUGUGUGUGUGUGUGUACUAACAUGUAUUGGAUUUAUUAUUGUAAUUUGUAAAUGAAUUAAAUAUUUUUAAAUUUUCUCA